CCUCAUCAUUGUGACAAAAACACUGAAAUCAAGAGUAAGUUGGAUGUUUCUCACCAGCCUAGACUUCAAGCUCUAACACAGCUGCCCCACGUUUAGAACACAGUGAUAGCUUCAUCAAUAAAUGCACUUCUGUUUGUAAACCCAUACAAUAUAGAUAAAUAUAAUACCUUUGCCUUGCAUUUCUUCUAUUUUAAUAGCAGCUAACAUGGUCAUUGGACACAGCAGUUUGCAUGGUUCAAAUCCAAGUUCUGGCAUCAGAGGUUGUUCUCCUUGAGGUUGAUCCUUUGUGUCUCCAGCCAAACGCCAACUGCUGAAGUCCGUGGGGAUGUGAGACUGAAGUGGAGAUGACGGCAAGAUAACUCCAUGUACCAGAAAAUACCUCCCUUAGAAGCAUAUUGAUUCAAAUCUUCACCCCAUCAGACCUUAAUGU